rnacentral:rRNA from 1 species
GACGAACGCUGGCGGCGUGCUUAACACAUGCAAGUCGAACGGUGAAGCGCCUUCCUUUUUGGUGGGUGUGGAUGAGUGGCGAACGGGUGAGUAACACGUGAGUAACCUGCCCCCUUCUUCUGGAUAACCGCAUGAAAGUGUGGCUAAUACGGGAUAUUCUGGGUCUGUCGCAUGAUGGGUCUGUGAAAGAUAUUGUUUCGGUGGGGGAUGUGCGCGCGGCCUAUCUGCUUGUUGGUGGGGUGAUGGCCUACCAAGGCGGCGACGAGUAGCCGGCCUGGGAGGGUAGACGGCCACACUAGGGAGGAGACACGGAGAAUGCUACUGGAGGCAGCAGCAGGGAAGAAUGGAAGACAGUGGGAGGAAGGCUGAAGCAACGACGCGGAGGGGGAGAGGGAGUACGGGGGGUGAUGAACCUGUGUCGCGAGUGAAGAACGCCUGCUUCGUAUGUGGAUGGGAUGACGGUAGCUGAAGAAGAAGCACCGGCUAACUCCGUG